CGAGAUUCCCCCAGUAGCGGCGAGCGAACGGGGAGGAGCCCAGAGCCUGAAUCAGUGUGUGUGUUAGUGGAAGCGUCUGGAAAGGCGCGCGAUACAGGGUGACAGCCCCGUACACAAAAAUGCACAUGCUGUGAGCUCGAUGAGUAGGGCGGGACACGUGGUAUCCUGUCUGAAUAUGGGGGGACCAUCCUCCAAGGCUAAAUACUCCUGACUGACCGAUAGUGAACCAGUACCGUGAGGGAAAGGCGAAAAGAA
rnacentral:rRNA from 1 species